CUAGACAAGCUCGAGUUCAGGAAGGGGGAGACCUGAGGAAACUCGGAAACCCCUAAGGACUGCUGGGUCUCCAAGGUUGCGCUGUUUUCUUGACAACAGGAAAUUAGCUCCGAAACAGUUGGUUUCUUCAAGAAAAGGAUCCUAUGGCACACAGACCACGUGCUGUGUAAAGAGCUCCCAAGAAAUGGGAUUUGGGUGGGGUGGAAGUAAGAAGGACCAGAGGAAUGAGAGGAAUGCCUAGAGGGAAGGUUCUCUGAGGACAGCGUGACCCCACUUUCCAAGUGGUCUUCUUUGGUCAAAAAGGUCUGCUGCGAUUAAAUGUUUCUCUUUGCCUUUUCCUGUGGUUUUGAUGAUGGAAUUAAUGAAAGCGUAAGAAAAUGCCCGAGGCUGAGCCGUGCGAGUCUGAGCUUUACAGCUGGACAGAUACUGCCCACUGCAGGCCAGAGCCCGAUCCUGUAGUGCUCUACUCCGACCUCCUGGAGCAGCCUGGGACGCUGUGUGUCAUCCCAGCAUCUGGAUGAGAAAUUGCGCCCAAGCGGUCCGUCUGUCUGUCUGUCCGUGCCCGCACCGGGAAGCGCUGGCGCUCAGCCGGGUCCCGCAGAAGCCGAAGUCCACGCUUCCCUCCGCCCCACGCUGCCUGCCUCACGCUCGGCUCUGAAAGGAGCUGCAGCUCUG